rnacentral:sRNA from 1 species
UCGAUUUCUUAAAUUAAAUUUUUUUCCGCAAGACCGCAAAUAAGAUUCUGGACUCUUGCCGCAACAUGGACGAGCUAGUUCCCUGAGCUCCGUGUGCUGGCUGCUCACUUUAUCCAUUCGCUCUUGGCUCUAUGCUAAACCAAUCAAUGUUUCGUGCAGUGUAAGCUGUGAGCAAGUAUCUGUGCGCUUGUUUGUCCUAUCUCAGUGUUGUGGGAUAAGCAAAAUAAUGACAUUCAGUUCAGAGUGUGCUAUAAACAAAGCCAAGAAUCUAUUGGCAAACAUUGGAAUUACACAUAAAACUCUAUAGGGCAAAGGGGGGAGUAAGAUAGAACGUAGAAAUAAAACAACUUUUGAAUUGUCUGACCAGGUCCCUGCACUGAUUUAUAGCUGCAUUACAUAUGUACUAGAUAAGAACAAAAUAAAAAAAACCUUAUUUAAAAACUACAAGUUUCGCAAAAUCUUUAUUUCACAAUAGAAAUGUACACUUAAACAGAACUAACCGAAUGGAAAAAAUACAAAAACUGGCCGUAGGUAUAUCAAACAGAUGUAUUUAAAA